GAUGAACGCUGGCGGCGUGCCUAAUACAUGCAAGUCGAGCGAACAGACGAGGAGCUUGCUCCUCUGACGUUAGCGGCGGACGGGUGAGUAACACGUGGAUAACCUACCUAUAAGACUGGGAUAACUUCGGGAAACCGGAGCUAAUACCGGAUAAUAUAUUGAACCGCAUUGUUCAAUAGUGAAAGACGGUUUUGCUGUCACUUAUAGCUGGAUCCGCGCCGCAUUAGCUAGUUGGUAAGGUAACGGCUUACCAAGGCUACGAUGCGUAGCCGACCUGAGAGGGUGAUCGGCCACACGGGAGCUGAGACACGGUCCAGACUCCUACGGGAGGCAGCAGUAGGGAAUCUUCGGCAAUGGGCGAAAGCCUGACGGAGCAACGCCGCGUGAGUGAUGAAGGUCUUCGGAUCGUAAAACUCUGUUAUUAGGGAAGAACAAAUGUGUAAGUAACUAUGCACGUCUUGACGGUACCUAAUCAGAAAGCCACGGCUAACUACGUG
rnacentral:rRNA from 1 species